rnacentral:lncRNA from 1 species
GCAGAGGCAAAUCUCUGAAUCUCUGACCCCGGUGAAACCCUGAAUCUCGGGGUGGGGGAGGGGGCACACUCCCACCAUGUGUCCAGAAAUUAAUCUUCUUCCCUUCCUCAUGCACAAACGCCUACUGCGAAGCAGUGAUCUGUGAUCGUGUGGCGGUGGGAACAGUCUGCGGUCAUGAGAGCCCGUGUUGUAGCCUGACACCUGGCUCUGCAGGCGAAGUCAGGACUGUGUGCCAGCGAAUCAGCGAGACGGGGAGGCAGGGAGACACGCGGUGACCAG